rnacentral:rRNA from 1 species
GAUGAACGCUGACAGAAUGCUUAACACAUGCAAGUCGACGAGAAAGAGUCUUCGGACUUAAGUAAAGUGGCGGACGGGUGAGUAACGCGUAAAGAACUUGCCCUGUAGACUGGGAUAACAGUCCGAAAGGAUUGCUAAUACCGGAUAUUAUAUAUUUAAGGCAUCUUAGAUAUAUGAAAGCUAAGGCACUACAGGAGAGCUUUGCGUCCUAUUAGCUAGUUGGAGAGGUAAAGGCUCACCAAGGCGACGAUAGGUAGCCGGCCUGAGAGGGUGAACGGCCACAAGGGGACUGAGACACGGCCCUUACUCCUACGGGAGGCAGCAGUGGGGAAUAUUGGACAAUGGGCAAGAGCCUGAUCCAGCAAUUCUGUGUGGACGAAGAAGGUUUUCGGAUCGUAAAGUCCUUUCAGUUGGGAAGAAUAGAUUGACGGUACCAACAGAAGAAGCAACGGCUAAUUACGUG